ensembl:lncRNA
CAGGUACUGCGUUUCCUAAAGGAGUGGGGAGAAGAGAUUAGAGGAAGGGGAAUGGAAGAGGGCCUCGAAGCUUAGUGUUAACGUAAAUAGGCAACUCCCGUCCGAAAAGCGGGUGUAGAAAGGAAAACCCUGCUCGAUUCAAAGGGUAGAUGCUGCAGACAGCUCAGGGGAUCGGGCUCUCGUCCUUACGGAUGCAGAGAUUGGACCACUGCACCUGGGGGCCAGGGAGACGGCCAUCCUGCUCACGUCAACCCCAUCCUAAGGACAGGUGGGGACGGAACGCCUGGGAGGCCCUGUGGGUGCCGUGCCGAGCCGCGGAGGGGUGGGGACUACGGAGCUUGCCUCCGAGCCCGGGGAGAGAAGGCAGGCAGAGCCCUUUCCCCAAGACCAGAGACCAGCUCCCCACGCCCUUCCUAUCCAAUAAUACUUUUCUUGCUAAGUCACCGCGGGAGGAGGGCGAUCCCCUGCCGACAGGGCCGCGGGGAAGAGUCGCGACGGUCCCGGCGGCCCCCGAACCCGGGCCUGAAGGACGCAAGUGAGGGCAGCGCCCUCCCCGGCCAGGGCCCCCCCCUCCUCCGAGCCUCACUCAACGGCCGUCGCGGCCGCCAUUUUGAGAGCGAGGAGAGAAGAAGAAGGAGGCGGCGGCGGCAGGGGGAGGGGAGAAAGGGAGGGAGGGGACCGGCGCAGCCACAUCGUCAGGCCGCCGGGCCCAGCCCGCAGCCGCCCGAGCGCGGUGGAGGAGACAGAGGGGAGGGUGCAGACCCUUGGCGCCUUACCGGAGCGCUGCACCGCCGCGUCCGCAGGGCCUCUUCCGUCCUUCACUCCCAUCCACCGGCGGGGGAAGGGGGAGGGAGAGGGAAGGGAGGAAGGAGGGAGGGAGGGAAGGAGGGAGGGGAGGAUGGCGCGCUGGGCCCGGUCCUCGGGAGGGGGAGGGGAGGGAAGCGGGCGGGCUCUUCAGCCGUUCCGGGGCUCGAGCCCAAGCCCAGCGCUCGCGGUUUCUGUUGCUCGCGCCCGAGCGCUUCCUUCCUGCCCUUUCUCGUUCUCUAGACCCUCGGGCCGCUGUUCAAUCGCUCCCUCACUCGCUAUCUCGGCCGUCGGACUCCGCCGCCGCCCCGCCGCUCCAGCUCCGUCUGUCACAGGAGCUGCCCCAGCGCCCUGACGUCACCGCGCCGCCGCCGCCCCAGACCCGCCAGGAAGAGGGAGGGGAGCGGAGGAGGGGCUGCGGCGCAUGCGCGGGCGCGGCUGGGCCCCUGAGUCGCCGUCUUCGUCCUGGCGAGCGGGCGAUCGCGGCCAGUGCUACUUGGCGGUACGGAGUGGCCGGUGGGCGAGCGUGCGCACGAGGCCCUGCUUUUCACGUCCCUCGUGCCGCUAUAACCUUGGAAGAGCCCCUUUUUUCCUCGACUCUGUUGUGUCCCCUCACGAACUCUGGUCCCACUCACCUAACCGCCCCGCUUUUGCCCCACUGCAUGCUGCGCUCUCUCCGCUUCCCCGGCGGACAGCGGGGACCAGUCGGCGCCCCUGCAUCCCGGCCCCGGAUUGUGGGUGAUCAUCUCCUGGAAGCAAGAAGUCAUGGAGGAGAACUCUUCUGCAGGAUAGGAGGAGAAAAAGAUGGCAGUAUGCUUUGGUUAUAAGAAACAAGCACUUUUGAGAAAGCUUAAGAAGAUUUGAAAGGAUAAAGAGAUACUUUCAUAAUAUUAAAGGGUUCUUAUCAUGUGCUCCAGGCUGGCUGUCAAGAUCUUCGUG